GACGAACGCUGGCGGCGUGCCUACUACAUGCAAGUAGGACGCAGUUGCGAACGGGUGAGUAACGCGUAGGUACCUACCUAUUAGCGGGGGAUCACUCUUGGAAACGAUAGCUACUACCGCAUACUAGUAGAUGGACCUGCGUUGUAUUAGCUAGUAGGUAGGGUAAUGGCCUACCUAGGCAACGAUACAUAGCCGACCGGAGAGGGUGAUCGGCCAAAAUGGUACUGAGAAAAGGCCCAGACUCCUACGGGAGGCAGCAGUAGGGAAUCUGCGGCAAUGGGGGGAACACUGACCGAGAAACGCCGCGUGAGUGAAGAAGGUGUUCGGAUCGUAAAGCUCUGUUGUUAAGGAAGCGGUACUUAACCAGAAAGGGACGGCUAACUACGUGCCAGCAGCCGCGGUAAUUC
rnacentral:rRNA from 1 species